rnacentral:lncRNA from 1 species
ACAGACCUAACUCCUGAUUUAUUGGUUUAGGUCCUAAGUAAAUACAGACCUAACUUCCUGAUUUAUUGGUUUAGGUCCUAAGUAAGUUUAGACCUAACUCCCUGAUUUAUUGGUUUAGGUCCUAAGUAAGUCCAGACCUAACUCCCUGAUUUAUUGGUUUAGGUCCUAAGUAAGCCCAGACCUAACCCCUUGAUUUAUUGGUUUAGGUCCUAAGUAAGUCCAGACCUAACUCCCUGAUUUAUUGGUUUAGGUCCUAAGUAAGUCCAGACCUAACCCCUUGAUUUAUUGGUUUAGGUCCUAAGUAAGUUUAGACCUAACUCCCUGAUUUAUUGGUUUAGACCUAACUCCCAUAUUGGUUUAGUUUUGAUCUCUCUUUCCUUUUCUUCUUUGUGAGAACAUGCCUGUCUUGAAUUAGAAACAAUUUAUUUCUGAAAAGUUCCCUACAUCAUCUUUUAAACUUAUUAUCUCAAAUAUCCCAUUGUCUAGCUUUGUGCUAAUAAAACAACAUUAUCUCAAUUCACUAAAGGCCUCAAAAUUGACUUUCUCGAAAUUAUGGUCUCCAAUUUAGUUUCUUUUUAUCUCAACAUGUAGCAAAACGCCAAAUUUAAACAUGCAAUAACCAUUCUUUUCUAAAUUGUCUCCCACUUCAUCUUUUUGAAACUGUAUCCUCAUUAAUGGUUAAAAUAAAUCUAAAAUAACACCCCCCUGGUUGACUCUAUCUCUAAAAUAACAUCCCCCCUGAUUGACUCUAUUUCUAAAGUAACAUCCCCCCUGGUUGACUCUAUCUCUAAAAUAACAUCCCCCUGGUUGACUUUAUUUCUAAAAUACCCCCCCCGGUUGACUCUAUCUCUAAAAUAACAUACCCCCUGGUUGACUCUAUCUCUAAAAUAACAUCCCCCCUGGUUGACUCUAUCUCUAAAAUAACAUCCCCCCUGGUUGACUCUAUCUCUAAAAUAACACCCCCUGGUUGACUCUAUCUCUAAAAUAGCAUCCCCCCUGGUUGACUCUAUCUCUUAAAAUAGUAUCCCCUCGUUGAUUCUUUCUAAAAUAGCAUCUUCCCUAGUUGGCUCUUUCUGAAAUACCAUCCAUUCCUGGUUGACUCCCUCUGAAAUAGCAUCUCUCCUCCCCUGAUUGACUCAUUCUAGAAUAACAUCAUCCUCAAUCACUUAAGAAAUCUCUCACAACUUGACUCCUUAUAAUUCCAGACUUACUAUACAUCCACCAACACGAGAGGGAUUUAUACUCAAAUUAUUACUGCUCGAAUCACCCCACGUUAUGCGUAAGAGUUGCGUUUGAUAGGACGUCAAAGGUUUCGAUAAUAGUGAUAUUGGGAAAUAUUCGUAUUUUUAAAAAAUUAAAAUAGUUUCAUAAUUACAACACUAUUUUUAAACGCGUUCAACUAAAUUAAAUUUGAAAAAAAUCUUCCUCGUGUGUUGAGCAAGGCUCAGAAGAACCACUUUCUUUGUUGUUAUUUUUUUUCCGGAUUUUAAAAUAAUUUACAAUUAAAAUAAUAUAAACAGUUUGUUCCUGUGGUAUUAGUACUAAUCGAUAAUCUUAUAGCUACGUUAUUACAUGCGCUUUGGCUUAAAUUACCUUUACUGUGUUCCUGGAUGCUUGGUAUAAAAUAUAACGCCUCUACUAGGAAAUGGUGGUUUCUUCUAAAUGGUAGUUAUAUAUUUGUAUAUUUAUAUAAAGAAAUGUAACUUUUAAUUUCGUCUUCCGUCUUCGCACAAAACUUGUUAAAGGUAAUAUUGUAAGGAACUGCGACUUUCUACAUUUUUUGAGCGUUAUACGAAGUCGAUUUAAUAUUUACUAGUCAAUAAUCUGUGACGUUCUUACGACAACUGAUAUUCCAGACAUUUCCAGAACAGUUUCGUUGAUGUUUGUACAAUUCGCCGAAUAAAAAUAAUGCUUUAAAACGUU